AUUUUCAGCGAUGGAUGUCUUGGCUCKCGCAWCGAUGAAGRACGMAGUGAAAUGCGAAACGCAAUGUGAAUUGCAGAAUUCAGUGAAUCAUCA
rnacentral:rRNA from 1 species